rnacentral:rRNA from 1 species
GAUGAACGCUGGCGGCGUGCCUAAUACAUGCAAGUCGAGCGAACAGAUAAGGAGCUUGCUCCUUUGGCGUUAGCGGCGGACGGGUGAGUAACACGUGGGUAACCUACCUAUAAGACUGGAAUAACUCCGGGAAACCGGGGCUAAUGCCGGAUAACAUUUAGAACCGCAUGGUUCUAAAGUGAAAGAUGGUUUUGCUAUCACUUAUAGAUGGACCCGCGCCGUAUUAGCUAGUUGGUAAGGUAACGGCUUACCAAGGCAACGAUACGUAGCCGACCUGAGAGGGUGAUAGGCCACACUGGAACUGAGACACGGUCCAGACUCCUACGGGAGGCAGCAGUAGGGAAUCUUCCGAAAUGGGCGAAAGCCUGACGGAGCAACGCCGCGUGAGUGAUGAAGGUCUUCGGAUCGUAAAACUCUGUUAUUAGGGAAGAACAAAUGUGUAAGUAACUGUGCACGUCUUGACGGUACCUAAUCAGAAAGCCACGGCUAACUACGUG